UGCAUGGAAAGCUACUAGCUCAAGCUAAAAACCUGUUAGCAUAGAUUUAAAGGCUGUUUUUUGUAACCCACAGAGGCUGAAGGAGGAGGAAGAGUUCAGCGACUGUGUUGUAGAAGUUUAUCUGUCAACAAGGGCUGAAACGUUUUUUUAUUUGUCUACAAAUAUUCAGCAGUUUUGAAAUGGAGGAAACCAGUUGAAAAUAAUCUGGAUCUCAACAGAAAACCUGAUGGACAAUCGUCACAUUUUUGGAUCUGACUCUGUUUCAGGUGAGACAUUUCUGCCUUACUGCUGUGCUUCCAGGCUGAGGGAAAUCAGAUGAUUUGUCCUAAUUUCUAAAGCAGUGGCAGACAGACACUGUUUGUUCCUUGGCAACGUCUCCAAACCUGCAGCCUCUGCUCCACUCACCAGCUUGAUGUCCCUGUUUCCAACGAUGGUGCUGAACUCGCUCAGGUCCCUCAUGAGCCCGUUGAGAAUCUCAGCGAUGCGUUUCCUCUGGUGGCUGCUCACCUCUUGGAUACGGGACAACUCUGCCUCUAAAGCGAUCAGCCACAACAUACAUUAUAAUAACAAAUAUUAAUAACGAGCCUCCUGAAAGCCUGACCCACCAUCUUCUUUGCGAGCUCUUCAGCCAGGAGCUUGUUCUGCAUGGUCUUCUCCUCCACCUCCAG